CAGGGAGACAACAAAAUGUUUGUUAUAAAUUUUGUCACCUUAGGUCGAUCGGAACCUCUGAUUUUUGGAUUUUUCGAAAAUUUCAAUUUCCUAAGUUUUUUCUAGGUCACACCCAUUUUUUUCCUGGGCCAUUAGCUCAGGUGGUUAGAGCGCACCCCUGAUAAGGGUGAGGUCCCUGGUUCAAGUCCAGGAUGGCCCAUAUCUCUAUUGGGGGUAUAGCUCAGUUGGUAGAGCGCCUGCUUUGCAAGCAGGAUGUCAGCGGUUCGAGUCCGCUUACCUCCACUGAAUACCACCUAAUUCAUUGAAGAGGGAAUUUUUUUGGGUAUGAUUAAAAUCUGGGCGAAUCUAGCCUCCUGUUAAUUUUUUUAAUAAGAUGCUGGAUUCACUGAAUAAACUAAUUCAUUGAUUCCAGAGAACCUUGACAACUGCAUAGAUUUAAUUUUUCAAGACAAUAAGCAUCUUUAAAGAUGCAGAUUUAUUAUUUGUGCUAAUGCAUUAAAUAACAAUUCUAUUGAGCUGAUGCUUCAAAUAUUUUGAAGUUAUU
rnacentral:tRNA from 1 species